rnacentral:rRNA from 1 species
GUGAGGAAUAUUGCGCAAUGGAGGCAACUCUGACGCAGCCAUGCCGCGUGCAGGAAGAAGGCGCUACGCGUUGUAAACUGCUUUUAACCGGGAAGAAACCCCAGGACGUGUCCUGGGUUGACGGUACCGGAGGAAUAAGCACCGGCUAACUUCGUGCCAGCAGCCGCGGUAAUACGAAGGGUGCAAGCGUUAUCCGGAUUCAUUGGGUUUAAAGGGUGCGUAGGCGGAGCGUUAAGUCAGUGGUGAAAUCCUGCAGCUUAACUGUAGACUUGCCAUUGAUACUGGCGCUCUUGAGUGCGCUUGAAGGGGGCGGAAUGUGCCGUGUAGCGGUGAAAUGCUUAGAUAUGGCACAGAACACCAAUUGCGAAGGCAGCUCACUAAGGCGAUACUGACGCUGAGGCACGAAAGCGUGGGGAUCGAACAGGAUUAGAAACCCCUGUAGUCC